UCUGACGGACGACGUCUGACGGAAGCACGCCGCGUGAUGAUGAGGUUUCGGACGUAAAACUUGUUGUCGGGAAAGCAAGUACCGUUCGAAUAGGGCGGUACCUUGACGGUACCUAACCAGAAAGCCACGGCUAACUACGUGCCAGCAGCCGCGGUAAUACGUAGGUGGCAAGCGUUGUCCGGAAUUAUUGGGCGUAAAGCGCGCGCAGGCGGUUUCUUAAGUCUGAUGUGAAAGCCCCCGGCUCAACCGGGGAGGGUCAUUGGAAACUGGGGAACUUGAGUGCAGAAGAGGAGAGUGGAAUUCCACGUGUAGCGGUGAAAUGCGUAGAGAUGUGGAGGAACACCAGUGGCGAAGGCGACUCUCUGGUCUGUAACUGACGCUGAGGCGCGAAAGCGUGGGGAGCGAACAGGAUUAGAUACCCUGGUAGUCCACGCCGUAAACGAUGAGUGCUAAGUGUUAGAGGGUUUCCGCCCUUUAGUGCUGCAGCAAACGCAUUAAGCACUCCGCCUGGGGAGUACGGUCGCAAGACUGAAACUCAGAAAUUUUUUUCGGG
rnacentral:rRNA from 1 species